AUACGGAGGGUGCAAGCGUUGUUCGGAAUUAUUGGGCGUAAAGAGCAUGUAGGCGGACUGUUAAGUCUGGUGUGAAAGCCCGGGGCUCAACCCCGGAAGUGCAUUGGAUACUGGCAGUCUUGAGUAUGGGAGAGGAAAGUGGAAUUCCGAGCGUAGGAGUGAAAUCCGUAGAUAUUCGGAGGAACACCAGUGGCGAAGGCGGCUUUCUGGACCAAUACUGACGCUGAGAUGCGAAAGCGUGGGGAGCGAACAGGAUUAGAAACCCUAGUAGUCC
rnacentral:rRNA from 1 species